rnacentral:tRNA from 1 species
GGCGGCUUAGCCAAGUGGUUAAGGCGGAGGUCUGCAAAACCUUUAUUCUCCGGUUCGAAUCCGGAAGCCGCCUCCA